UACGUAGGUGGCGAGCGUUGUCCGGAAUUAUUGGGCGUAAAGGGUGCGUAGGCGGUCCGUUAAGUCUAGUUUGAAAGACCACGGCUUAACCGUGGGAGGGGAUUAGAAACUGGCGGACUUGAGGGUAAGAGAGGAAGGUGGAAUUCCACGUGUAGCGGUGAAAUGCGUAGAGAUGUGGAGGAACACCAGUGGCGAAGGCGGCCUUCUGGCUUACCCCUGACGCUGAGGCACGAAAGCGUGGGGAGCAAAC
rnacentral:rRNA from 1 species